UCCUCCACCAUAUUUCGAAAUUCCCCACCCCACCUCUGCCUCCGGCGCCGGAGGUGGUUGCUUCUUCGUUGAAUUUUCAGAUUGUUAUAGCAGAUUUAGGGGUGGCUCUGAAAAUGACCAAGGCGACUCCCGGCCGCUGGACAGCGUCCAUGCUGCGCGGAAAAAGCCUAACAAACUGCCUGCUUUCUCGAUUGGUUGGGCGAAGAGCUCCACAUUUACUGAUGUCGCUCAAAUAAAGCGAAAAUCAAUAGGAUGCUAACUGAUUUUUACGAACAGACACCUCGUCCCAACCCAUCUAUUCAUUGGCGGUGCAGAGUAUAUGGUAAUUUAAGGUGAAUGUGGAAAGAAGAGGAGAUAAGGAUGACGACCCUCAAAUUGAUAUGACUUUGAAUGAAGGGCCAGAUUUAUUGAUUCCUCAGGAGGUUUGAGAGAAGCUCCAUAAAUGGUACAGAGGGCCAGCAUUUCCGCGGAAUGUGAUCUCAAUUGGGUAUAAACAGAAGCACUUAGUGGUGGAAAUCUCCCCCUUGUGUCUCAGGCUAAUUGAUACCGGAGACGAGGGCGAACUAACUUUAAAUUGAGCAGAAGGGUAAUAGAGAGCUCUUCUUUAAGAUCAGUUUUGGAUGAUACAUGGCUUUAAAGAAGAGAGAUUUUUUUACAAUCUCUGAAUCUCACAUUUAUAUCAUGGUAGACAUUAUCUUCCAAGUGUGUCAACAAUGUUAUUUUACUCUACUGCAGUGAUUGAUGCGGGAUAUUGUAAAAUCUUCUUUACAUUUUAUUUCUGCACAUCACCUAUUAUUUAACACAUGUAAGUGCUUUAUGAAUAAUUACUAUUUUGUGUGGUUGAUUGUUGAAGAAGUUAUGUUUGCUUACUUUGGCUAAUUGUUGAUGCAUAAAUUGUUGAAAGUUAUAUUUAUCUUAGCAUUUUAAAUUUUCAUCCUUUAUAAGUUCUGGACAUACUUUCCUUUUGCCUUAAGUAAAAGGUCACUUAUAUUUGUAUAAUUGCAUUGUUCAUUUACAUAUGGAUAGAAUCGAACUUUUGACAUUUUCUUAAUGCUGUCAAUAUUAUAGCUUGGUUUGAUCAUUUACAAACUAGAAAUAUCUUUAAUAUUGUUUAGAGAACCUUCUGCCCUUGAUGGAUUGAUCUGACCUUUCAUUGACUUAGUCUUGUUAUAACCAAUUAAAAAUAAAAUUGUUCUUAUUGAUUUCUUGUAGUUUAUAAUAUGAAUUCACAUGCUCUAAUUCUGUCUUCAAGUUACUUUGCACGAUCUCUAUGUAAAAGUGUGCCAUCUUAGAGGUUUAAAUCUCAAAGAGGUUUGUUUAUACACAACACUUUUAUUGUUUAUUUUACUCUUCUAGAAAUCUUGUUGAGAACAUUGUAGAUGCAUUCUUUUAUUGUCAUGUUUGCAUCUGGGACUACUUCGGUGAAAGGAAGCUAAGUAUAUUAACUCCUUCAAGCCAACAUUUUGGGGAGACUAAUUUGCAAAUGAAUCAAUCGGUAAGUUCAUACUGCCUUGUUACUAUCACAAAUUUCACAAGUAGUUGUAUCUUCAACUCCUUAAUUUGUGUGGCGACUAUGGUUUGUUUUAUUUGUUUUUUUCCAGCAGAUUAAUUCAUAUUAUGAUUGAAAAGUAAACAUAUACUUCAAGCUUUCAAGUUGUUGGUGCUUGAGAUUACAUGGUUAUUUUAAUAAGGCUUUCUUUGCGGCUCUAUUUUUUGUCACUUAUUUUGUUGAACUUGGAUACCUUUUUGAUAAACUAUAUGCAUAGCUCUUUUCACUUCUACCUUUCAUCUUUUCGUAGAUUCUUCUUGAGGCGCAAACUAAUGGAUAUGGUCUUGUUCCAUGUUUCUUCAUGGGUUGCCAAUCGGCACCCCUAGUGGGUUUAUAUAAGCAAACAUUAAUUUGAAUCUCCAAUACAUAAUUUGAUAAUUCCUAUUGCCAUUUUAUUUGAAAUUGUAUAUAUUUAGUCGUUAAUGUUCAUUUGUGUUGGAAUACUUCCAGGUCUUUGUAUUUAUAGUUGCUAAGUAUGACACUCCCAAAAAUUUACUUAAUCUGGUAUGUUAUUUCGUUCCAAAUGUUUGUUUUAGACUUAUGUUUGUUAUAGUCUACUAUAAAAUAUGUAAUUUAUUGUUUCUCAAUUGUCUACACAUCCCCUUUCGAUUCGGUAGACAAACUAUACUUUAAAUGUCGAAUUCCAAAUUUGAGAUAGAACUAUGCCUGCAGAUCAAAUACAUAGAUUCGUCAAGAUGGCAGAAAUUGUACACUGCGCAUUUACUUUUCAUUCGAAAUUUUAGAUUUAACUUUUUUUUCUCUAGGUAUGUAGUGACAAAUUUGGAAGCCAUAAAUUGUGCUGUGCGCAUUAAAUUUCUUUUUAGUUAAAAUUUUACUUCAAGACUUCAUAUCUUCGUAGGAGAACUUACACUUUAAAUAACACAUUUAUGUUUGCUUCUAAUUAUUUUGUCUUUGUACUAAAUUGUUAUUAUUUGAUGUACUAUGAAAAGAGAUGUCUCAUGUCUCAUUUUUUGACUUUGUUUACAUCUUUAUUCAUAGUUUAGAUUAGGUAUUGGUGCUGGUAUGAUAUUUGCAACCUUGUGCUCAGAUUGGAAUUUUAUUGGUAGUAUAUUUGUACUUUAAUUAUUUAUUGCAUGUUAAAAUUUUAAAUAUACAGUUAACACUAUAAAUUAGAAAAAUAAAAGAAAUUGGAGGACUAAGAACUUCCUCAUAUUCUCUUUCUCUUACUUUGCUAAUUCCCUCAUGUGUACAUUCUGAGUGAUCGUCAUUUUCAGGAUUGCUGCUUCGUACCCAUUCUCGGUGAGAGCUUUAGGAAGACCGUAAGAAACGGUCAAAUGGGGCUGACAUUUUGCAAACUUUCAAUACUUUCUCUACAACUCUAAGACACAUGCGUGUCCUCAUCCUUCAAUAUUCAAAAGUUCUGAUCUAAUCUUUGAUCAAACCCUGGCUGUCAAUUUUAUUGUCAAUAAUUUCAAACAAGUGAUUUAUAUUGAAAAUAAUUUUAGAAACCCAAAAUUUAGUUUUAAUAUUUUCAAUGAUCAAUUUCGUAGACAUGUGCUAAACCUUCUUUGAGAAUAUGUUCCGACAAAAUUUGAAUUUUUAUGGCUUUUGAAGAAGAGUUUGGAUUUGAGAUUCCAGGCGAUGAGGCGGCUGUUGACUUCAUCACAUCUCAACCUCGGGAAAAAUUUAUUUAUAUAUAUAUAUAUAUAUAUAUGCUUUUCAGGGUUUGGCUUUCUUCCCUUCACUCUUUUGAUUAAAAAUCGAUGUUUCAAAGAUUUCUAUCUUGGUCAAUUACAUUUUACAUUAGUCUGCUGCAUAAUACAUUCUCCUUACCUUGUGAAGGAAACCUUGGAGAAUGAGGUCAAUUUUUGUGUUUGUAAUUAGCUUCCUACCCAUUCCAUCUGUGUUAUAACUAUUCCAUAAAAAAAAAACAUUAUGCUCUGGUUAUCUUUGAGUAUAUUUGAUCCUUUUUUGUUCUCGUUGUUGAAAGGAUUGAGAUUAUUAAUCUCUUGUUUUUGCUGACCUAUGUUUUUUAUCUCAUAAUUGGUUUCCACCAGACGACACACCUUGGGAUUGAGGUGAGAAGAUGCUUCUUUUGGUUAAGAGAAGAUGAAACUAACUAUCAGCCCAGCAGUUUCUUUUCAAUCCACUAAAGUUUAAGCUCCAAAUGUAAUAGUUGUGAAUGCGCAUGGCCCCGGCCACAUUUUCCUUUUUACUUGUCUUAAUCAAUCACUUAUUCUAAUAUUUGUAACUUUUCUUAUAGGCACAUUUAAAUUGACACUUCAGUUUACAGAGGAUUACCCUAAUAAACAAUGGAUAGUUCAAUUCAUAUCUAGAAUGUUCCAUCCUAACACCUUAUUAUGCUCAACUAUCAACAAUUUAUAUCUGAUGGCGCAUGAAAUUAUUUGUUUCCCAUGUAAUGUUAUUGUUGGCAAUUGACACUACUUUUGAAUAUGAAAUUUAAGCAUCUGAAAGAUCUUUACCACUUGUCGCUGUAUUCUGACUCAACAGCAGCUGCUGGAAUAGCAUGAUCAGGAUAUACAAUGUAAUGAACUUAUUAGUCAUGCUCUUCUAAGUGACACUAUAGCACAAUUCAAUGCAGUUAUUGUUAGUUUUGUAUUUUCAUAAUAGUUAUGUUGUAUAAUUCUGACCCCCAAGUUUGUAAUUAUUUCAUCCGGGGACAAGUCUCUCAUAGACCAUGUAAAAUUCUUUGAAACUCUCAACAUAGCUGGAGUUAGCCAACAUAGCUUACUGUUCUCUAAGGCGGCAGCUCCAUGAGGAGUGGAGGUAGUGGAGGAAGUGAGAAGGUGAUAUACUUUAUUUAAACUUUAUCGAUUUAAAUGUUCAUUUAGUUUUUGGAUAAAAAUUGUGAUGCCUGAGAAAGUUGAUAGGGAAAUGUUAUAUUACUGAAUUUCACCUUCUUAUCGUUAUCAUGUAUGAAUGUUGUUAUGUUAUCCUCAUUGCCUUAUAAAUGAGCCGGAAUACUGUGUCUUUGAAUGAUAUAAUUUAUCUCCUUAUUUCGUCCACAGGCCAACAGAGAAUGUGUUUAUGGGGAAUGCACCUUGGCAACCAUUCCAUGAACAAGAUGUUGAUGGGCAUUUCUGUUGAUUGAAAAACUACACUGCUUUCUCACUCAUAAAUACUUAAUGAUUGUUUGGUGCGACGAAAAAUUUUUCACUCAUAAAAGUCACGUAUGUGAGGCAUUUGUUACAGCGAGCAAAAGCUAGAUGGCGAGUGAUGGUGUUUAAUAGCAGAGGUUGUGAGGACAACCUUGUCACUACAACUCAGUGUUUUUGGAUGUUAUCAUUCUUUAGUGUAAAAUCAAAGGCAGGUAAAUUAAAAUAUUGAUUGAAUUUAGCAUCCGUCCAAUGAUCCUAUGCAUAUGCAUUUUACUUUUGUUUGCUAAAUAAUCACGAGUAGAUGGAGAUGUUGUAUUUGCUAGUCUUGACAUCCAUCCUUAAUUACGUUCCAAAUAAAUUGGAAAUAAUUCAUGUUCUCAUGAGUGGAUGGAGAUGUAUCACCGUAUUCCUAUUGUGCAUCUCUUGCUGCUAUAACCUUUUCACAUUUGAUUAUAUUCUUGUAUACUAUUAUAUAAAAUUCAAUAUUCAACACCUAAUAUUUUGUUUUCUUAUAAUUUUUCACAUCAAACAUAUAUCAUUAAUGCAACAUUGAUCAUCAUUAUGUAUGUGUAAGGUUGUAUAAGAUUUUUUACAUUACACUACACCCGUGUGGCAUUGUGCGUGCCGGGUUCUAGUAUAUCUAUAAUGGCAUUGUGCGUGCAGGAUUCUAGUAACUUAUAUAUAUACAACUUAUAUAUAUAUAAUAUUGGAAAAAAUGGAACAGAUGACACCCAAAGUUUCUUCUAGCUAUAUAUAUAAGAGUUGGUGCACAAACUAGUAUGUUCCUCUCUUGGUUAUGGAUUAGUGUUCGUAUGUAGUUCGCCGUCUGUUGAAGGUAUUUUGGUGUCUGAUUUGGGGGAAAUGAGGAUUCUGUCAGAAAUGAAGGAUUUUCUUGCAAAUCGGAGGAAUGCUUUGGUGUUUCAAUCUCCAUUCGAAGAUGAGAAAGCUCUUUGCACAAAGCAGUGUACUCAAGGUUGACUGUUACAUGUUUUUUCUUUUUUGGUAACUACUAUGUUGCUUUAACGAGAUUAUUUGAGGAGUUUUUCUGAUUUCACCAUUUUAGUUCGUUUCUAUUUUGUUCCUGUAUCGAUGAAUUAGGUACUUGUUCAUUCUCGAGUGGUGUGGUACAUAUUGUGGUUUUUGAUAGAGUAGAUCGUGGAUUUAUUUCUUCUAUUAAGAAAAAGGAAUUGCUAAAUGAACUUUAUACAUUUCUUUAUUGGUAGUGUAAUUUGUACUGAUACUAUUAUUUUCCUAUAAUAAACUGCUUUGAUAUUAUGUCACUUGUAUAGUAUCUAACAAACUAAUUUGGAAGCCAAUUCAUAAGUGAUUAUGAACAUCCAUUUAUUCGUCUUGUAUCAUAAUCUAGAAGUUAUCAAAUUAUUAGUUAUGAAUUUGUUUAGAAGAAUCUCAUCUUCUUGGUGAUCGAAUUAUUGAUAUGGUGAAUUAUAUCUCCAGCAUUGCUAAAUAACUCCCCUCAUAUCAUUAUUGUCUGUACGUACAGUACAACACAGCACUGUUUGAUUUGGAUCAUCGUCUCAUUCACAAUCCUAAUCCUCGUGCCAUCCUACUACAGAUAAGUCUAUGGUUGUAUUCUUUUAUAAAUUUCUCAUAAGAAAUUUUGUUCAUUAGCUUUUCUUCUUCAGUUCUUAUUCAUAUUUGGUAAUCUUUCUAAAUGUUUAGACAAUUUAAUGUGUUUCUUUUCCUUGUUGUGGACAAAUGCUUGAAAUCCUGUGGAUUUGUUAAACUUGUUUGCUAAUAAUUUGUUUGGUGUAAGUGAGCCCGAAAGCCUACAUAUUUGUAUGGAAAAUGUGUUUAUUAUUGUUUUGUAGCUUUAAUAUAGUGUUUUGCUUUUUUAUUCAUUUGUGCUUAUGUAUGUAUGUAUGUAUGUAAAUUUUGGAGUGAAAUUGCUGUGGAUGAGUUAGAUACUUCCAAACAGAUUGAGCAGAUUCUAGUUGAUUAUCCUAGCACAUGGUUCACUUUUGUUAUGCCUGCACAUACAUACAUUCAUAUGCAAGCACUGCCUCCCUGUAUAUGUCUCUUAGCUUAUUCAAGCUUGUCUGUUGAUCUGUAGUUCUCAAAUACUGCUUAGAAUGCUGCAGAUUUCAGGAGUUUGUAACUUAUAUUUUUCAUGUUUUUGGGAGUUUCUAGUGUCACAUAUACAUGAUAGGUGUUCACUGAGAAACUCUUUGCAUAAGAUUCUCUAUGCUGCUGGUCAUUUUCUUGAUCUUUAUUUGCCCUUGUUUGCUACUUUUCCAAUUUGAUAGAGUAUGCUCUAUCCCAGGUUGAUAUUUGCCUAGAAUGAAAAUUUUUUGGAUCCAGGGGAGUAGGGGUCAAAAUCUCAAGAACGAAAUACUAGUUCAGAAUCCAUCUCUGCCCAAAAACUCUCCAACUAAGAAUCCUUCAUCUGUCAUUGGAUGAAAAUAAUGCAAAUCCUAUAUAUCAAGCUUCUGAAGAGAGAACUCUUUGAGGAUUGUGAGUCUAUUUUGGAUUGGAAUUCGAUUUAGCAUUCUGCUGCUUUGACUUGCUAUUAUUACUAAUGGUUUUACCAGAAGAGAUUUUAUCUGCUUUCCGUUUGGUACAUGAUGAGAUUACCGAUGAGGAAGUGACCUUGGAAAAAUGUAGAACUUCUGCAUAUUGCGUACAAGAAAUUGAGAAAGAAGUUGGAAUCAACUCAAGGUUUGAUAUGGGCUAGUUCUGUAAAAAACUUAUUUCAAGUUGGCAUUGAUAAUUUUUUCGUAGAUUGCUCCCAGUGGAAGAAAAAUGGGAAGUGUCUUGGUAUUUUGCUCUUAUUUGAGUUGAAGCAAUCUUUAAUUGAAUCUUUAGGAAGCCAACUGGGACCUGAUGUUGUAGAUAACAUACAUCAAGAGGAGAAAACACUUGAGCAAUGCAUCAACCAAUUCAAAAAUUUUGAGGGAAACAGAGCUACUUUGGAUUCCCAGCUUAGAGAAGCAAUUCAGGAUCAAAUGUCUGAUGAUUAGUAGAAAUGAUUCUUCUGUAGAAAGCUGAGGAAUAGGACGAUCAGGAUCAACAAUUGUAGGUUGAUUGGGUGUGGCCAGCCAUAUGUUGACAAUCGUGUUCGUGUCGAUCAACGGGUGGGUGUAGAUGCUCUUUGACCAGAAUGAGCUUUGUAGGAUCUCAAUUGAUUACGUCUGUAUUAUAUCUGGGUACAAAUCUUCUUCUAUUAAUAUUAUGAGAUAUUAACGGAAGUAUUUUUGCAAUUUUUUUUUUAA